CAUGCCUGAUGAAGGGGAAAAAAAAAACCUUGGGAAAACAGGCAGCAGAAUCCAAACCCUCGGGCUUGCAGCCAGCCAUCCCAAAUCCACCUGCACAGAGCUCCCCCUGUCCCUUCCUCAUCUCAGGGUCACACUCAAGGGCUCGGGGACAUCCCGACCUCCCAGGCCUGGCUGGGCACACCUGCACUUCCCAUCGGUGCUGGAAUCUGGGAUGGAAUUUGAUUUUUUUUUUUUUUUUUUUUUUUUUUUUUUUUUUUCUCCCUCCAAGCAUCUGGCGGAAGAACACAGCAGGAUUUGGGAUGGGAUGGGGGAAAGGAAUUCCAGCAAAGCAGGAAGGCUCUGCUGAGGGCCAUCCAUCCCUUAAAUGAACAGCCAGGGCAGGGAUGCUGCCCUGGGGCCUACGGACAUUCCUUGGCUAUAUUUGGUGAUGGAUGGAGAAUUUGUUGCUUCCCCUCAGUCCAUUUGUUGCCCUCAGUGGCAGGGAGGAGCCGUGAGCUGCAGUGCCUCUACUUCAGCAGCCAUAAAUCUCCUCCACCGAGCUUUUGCUGCCUCCCACCUGUUGGCUGGGAGAAGAUCAAGUUGACAAAAGUCUCCUGCCAAGCUGUAUUUUUAUCCAGGGCUUCAUCACGAGCCCAGGUGCCCCACAAAAGCCGCUCACGAAGCAGAGGGAGGAGGUUGUACCGCAGCACAUCCCACCCCUGGAAUCCCACCUCUCCCACAGGUUCUCCAGUCCCAAAGCAGGAGCUUUAAUCGCAUUUUCUGAAUUCCCUUAAACCCCAAAACUCCUUUUUCCUUCUCGUCACGCCCAACCCAUCACCAUAAAAACUGGGAGGUCCCAGGCAGGGAGCUCAGACCCUGGCCAAACCCUCAUGGUGAGAACAGCGGAGCCGGGCUGGGACCAACACGGUUUAUUAUGGAAAAACACCCCGAGGGAUCCCAUGAACGUGGCCAAAAACCAGCGCAGGACAAUGAAAUGAAAUCCACAGCAACAACACACAGCAGGAAAAGUCCAGUUGUCAGCCAGGACAGCACCAGGGGGGCACGACCCUGCGGGAGAAGGAAUGAUCCCAGGGGAUGAUCCCAGGAAUGAUCCCAGGAAUGAUCCCAGGAAUGAUCCCAGGGGAUGAUCCCAGGGGAUGAUUCUGGGGGAUGAUCCCAGGGGAUGAUCCCAGGAAUGAUCCCGGGCAAUGAUCCCAGGGAAUGAUCCCAGGGGAUGAUCCCAGGGAAUGAUCCCAGGAAUGAUCCCAGGGAAUGAUCCCAGGGGAUGAUCCCAGGGGAUGAUCCCAGGGGAUGAUCCCAGGGGAUGAUCCCAGGGUCACUCCCCCGCCCAAGGGGACAUGAGGGAUGUACACAAGCAGCAAAGUCUUUGUCUUCCAGCUGUAGUAAUGGAGGAGGGGGAAAAAAACCCAAACAAAACUAAACCAAAAGCAGAGGAAGCCACGUGGAUCAAGGCAAAAGGGGCAGCCGUGGUGGGGAUGGAAAAUCCUCCCUGCUCAGGAAGGAUUUGGGCUCACCUGGGUCCAUCUCCUGAGCCCCACAUCUCCCAGGGAGCCCCUAAGCUGCCCUGCCAGUGCAGGACCUGAAGCAGGGUCACCAAAACUCCGUCCCCAGCUCUCUGUGCAUCUCAGGAAUCUGAAUUCCAGCAGGAAUCUGCCAAAUUCCAGAGUUCUGCCCCAAAACCACAACCCACCGAGCAUCCAUCUCCUCCUGCCAGCCCAGCCCUAACAGCAGCAUCACCUCUGGAUCAUCC